GCUGGAAAGAGACUGAAUUGGAGCUAUAUCUGAUUGCAGUCACCCAAGAUGAAAGGCUGCGGACCCAAGACACACACAGACACUCCGGGCUCAAAGGGAUUGUCCAGGCGGCAGGCAAGCGGUGAAGAGAAUGUAGACAGUGGCAAUUCAAGACAAGAAAGUCAGAGCGGAUGUUUGGCAGCUCGAUUUCAAUGCCUGCUCCAUCGAGACUCCACUUUGGCCAAUAGUACCUAACAGCUCCAGAUCUGCCGGCCUGUUAUGUACACUCUACAAUUAAUCAGUUUCAUCCAAGAUGUCUGGCAUUGCUUCUUAAAAGGCAACAGGAAAUGGAUUUUUGUACUGACAGAAAAGGAAUCUAUACACCAGAAAACUUGACAGGCUUAAAACCCAAGCAAUGAAGACAUCACAGAAUAUCAACAGAAGGAAGUUAACAGUAUGGAGAGAUAAAUGGUGAUGAUCACAGAGAGGUUGUAUUCACUGUAUUGUCAAUUAUGA